rnacentral:rRNA from 1 species
GACGAACGCUGGCGGCGUGCUUAACACAUGCAAGUCGAACGGAAAGGCCCCUUUGGGGGUACUCGAGUGGCGAACGGGUGAGUAACACGUGAGUAACCUGCCCUUGACUUCGGGAUAACUUCAGGAAACUGGGGCUAAUACCGGAUAGGAAUCCUUGCUGCAUGGUGGGGGUUGGAAAGCUUCGGCGGUUUUGGAUGGACUCGCGGCUUAUCAGCUUGUUGGUGGGGUAGUGGCUUACCAAGGCUUUGACGGGUAGCCGGCCUGAGAGGGCGACCGGCCACAUUGGGACUGAGAGACGGCCCAGACUCCUACGGGAGGCAGCAGUGGGGAAUAUUGCACAAUGGGCGGAAGCCUGAUGCAGCAAGGCCGCGGGCGGGAUGACGGCCUUCGGGUUGAAGACCGCUUUCAGCAGGGGCGAAGCUUGUGGUGACGGUACCUGCAGAAGAAGCACCGGCUAACUACGUG